GCCAUCUUUGCGAAUCAAGUGACGUAGGUGAUGAAUAUCAUUAUGUUAUGUCAUGUAAUGCUCUUACUGAAGAAAGAAAGAGGUUGUUACCAUACUAUUGUACUCUUCGUCCAAAUAUUUAUAAAUAUCAACAAUUAAUGAGCUCUAAUAAUCAUAUUGUUCUUGAAAAACUUUGUAGAUUUAUAAAAAUUAUAAAUGUGAG
rnacentral:lncRNA from 1 species